UGUGAGUCCCAAGCCAGGAUGUUGAAUUCUCUGUAAGGCAGGAAGGAAGUCUGAUGUAGCAGUGAGGAGCAUUGACCAGCCUUCCAUGGGAAGUAGAGGUUAUCGUCCCAGUAGGAGAAGGUGGCUGAGGCAGUAGAAGUGACAAGCUUGCUGUUUUGUGGGUCCCCUGUUCUCCUGACUUCAAUCACCCCUCUCCCCUCCUUCCUCAACCCAUCUGAAGUUUGCCCAUCACUUCUGGUCCACCUGCUCCAGAAAGCCCAUCCUGAACAUAGCCACAGGAAAAUAACUGUGAUCUUAUCUUUAAAGAUUUGUCUUUAAUGGCUUCUGAUUUGUUUAUUUUAAUAAAAUGAUAUUCAAUGUUGA